rnacentral:misc_RNA from 1 species
GCAAACUUGGUCAUUUAGAGGAAGUAAAAGUCGUAACAAGGUUUCCGUAGGUGAACCUGCGGAAGGAUCAUUAUCGAGUCUUGAAUCGGGUUGUCGCUGGCCUCCCCCUUUUGUUUGGGGGGGCAUGUGCACACUUGACUCAUCCACUCUCACACCUUUGUGCACCUUCUGUAGGUCGUGUUUGAAGGCCAGCUUCUGUGCCGGCUUUGGCGCCACCUAUGUCUCUCUCGUAACACACUUCAGUGACAGAAUGUAACUAUUUGUGAAAGACCAUAUACAACUUUCAGCAACGGAUCUCUUGGCUCUCGCAUCGAUGAAGAACGCAGC